GCUCCUGCAAGCCUCCUUCUGGGGAAACCAAGAAGGUGUUGGGACAAGUCAUCUUCUCCUAUACCCUUCCCCCUACAAGGGCCUAGAACUCCCAGGGGAUUUCUGUUCUGCACAGCUGGAGGCUCAGGCCUCUGUGUAACGAGACAAAGGGGCAGACAGGAUUCAAGCUUUGCCUCUGAAUCCUCCUGGGCCCGAUCUGAGGCGGGACCAAAGGAAUCUGUUCACACAUCUUCAUUUCUCAGGGAUCACACCUCUCAUGUCUUACCAGGUGCUGGUGCCCAGCGAGGCACGUGAAGCUUUCCUUAAGGAAAUCUUCCAGCUCUAAGAAUAGCACUGAGCCAGACCCACCCUACCAGGCCCCUUCCCUUAGCUGUAUGAUGUUUGGGCAAAUUGCUUUUUCCUCAACUUUGUCUUCCCAGAAGUUCAACAGGAAGCAGGAACUCUCUCUACACUCUGAGGAAUGCGGGGAUGACCAAGAGGAAGAAGGACAACCGUCAGACAAGCGUGGGUCUGCUGGACGGAGGCAGGAAAGUGGGAGGGGACCGAAACAAGCAGAGUGGGUGGUGGGACGGAGAGGGAACGGCUGGAAUUCUUACCUCCUGAUGCUGCAAGCUUGAGGUCAUCUGAGCCAUCUUCGUAAGUGUACAGAGCCCUGAGGAGAGGGAGGAGUGGCUCAGAACUGUCAGGAUCUAGGCAGCCAAUUUUGGGUGGAGAAGGCACUAGAAAGGGAGAGUGACACCAGAGGGGGCAGGCAGGGCAGAACAGGAUGAGGAGGGGUAAGCUUUGAUCGUUGGUGGGUCAUGAGGAGGCCAGGCAUCAUUUCCGCUGAGUCGGAGACCUGGGUCAGAUGGCAGCCAGGGAGUGGUGGGGGAGAAAUCAUUGCCUAGUCAGCUCAUCGUCCGGCCCUAGCCCUGGCAGCCCACAACUCAGUGGAGCGGGUGUGCGAUGGAGGCUCCAAGGCAACGGUUCCUUGGUUACCGUUCCCUGGCGACCAUGAUUCUCAUCCCUCAUUGGCCAGAGCCAGGAAUCUACCUGGUGCGUGCCUUGGUACCCGCCGCCCCUCCCCCUUUUGGGAGGGAGAAGAAUCUGGUGCUCGAUGCUGGGCAUCCCCUGGUAACCAUGGCAACCCAGCAAUUGGCACAGAAACCAGCCCACCAGAGCUGCAUUCUCCUCGAACACAAAGGACCCCAGGGACAUCCUCAGAAUCAAUCUCUCCCUCUCUGAGAUGGGGGUGAGGUCGCUGUGAUCACUCCCUGUCUCUGACCCUAAGAUCUCCUGGUUUUCCAGCCCCGAGGCUGUCCCUGUCCUCACUGACGCCUUCUAGGACUACCAUAUAGACUGAAGCUGACCGAAAAGCUUCCUUCCUUCCUAGCCUUCUUUGCUCUAUUUAUUCUUGGCAGGCAUACUAAAGCAUCCAUCUCAUGGAAAGUCACAGAUGAAACACUGAGCCAGCACCAGGAAUCCUGGCUCCUUCCAAGACACAGCUCCGGCCAUCACAUCUCUCUGGGUUGCACUUGGGUUUUCUGUACAUGGAGACCACUCAGGACACCACUGCCAGCUUCAGUCUGAGCUUCACGGCCCAGAGCUCAGCGAGAAUGGGGAAAGCCAUCUGCACUAAGUCCCAGACCCUGCCGGACAGUUUCUCUAACAUAACACAGGUGCUCUGGGACUGGCAAGUAGGAGCUAGGAAACAUCAGGACAAAGUAGAAGAGGAGAGGACUAUAGAUGGGACACACCUCACCAGACCCUGGAGACAGUCACUGGCAGUGACAGAGACUGUCCUGUCAGUUUGUGAAGGCAGGGACUCUGACUGUGCUAACAAAUACUGCUGCCUCCGUCCUGGGUCCAGCACAAAACAACACCACAAGGGAUCUGUAAUGUUGACACAAACGCUCAUCCACCAUUUAAGCCGGAGACACUGGACUAGGGCAAGGUAAGAGUCCGACUUUAGCAUGGACACUAGCAGUGAAAGGUUGAAGACCAGCGUGCUCUCAGUGAGCUAGAACUGGAAAGGCCCCGGAGACCCCUAGAUGGACUCUGCCCAUCCCCCUCUUUUCUCAGAGUACUUGAGAAGAGCAGGAACUUCUCACACAAUGAAUCACACCAUAGCCAGGGUUGGUGGUGCUGGCUUUUCCCACUACACAAUCUGACUUCCCCAGUGACCUGCUUACAGCACAAGGAUGGUGGUCCUUAAGAGACCCUGCCUCCUAGGGGGUCAGCAACCCCAAGCUCCGCCACACACACACACACACACACACACACACACACACACACACACACACACACAAAGUCAAGGUAGCCGCAAGAUGCCAAAUAUCCGUGCCCCAACGUUUUAACCCAGACACCCCUCCUGCUGGACUGAUAAAUUCAGGGUCUGUCCUGAGCCUUGAGAUCUCAGCCAGCUCCGGGUUGCAUGAUAAGAGCUGAGAGGAAUCACACCAUCUUCAGUAAGAUGCAAUCCUCGCCACACUUUUACAACAUGCUGUUUAGGCCCUUGGAAGUAAGCAAGCAGAUAUGCGAGGGUACAUCUGCACAUAUCCCUCACACAACCCAGACGGGGCUGGCAGAGGCCAGGGCUGAGUAACUACCUCCCUUUGGCUACACGGAUGUUGCUGGUGGUGGAGGCCCAGGCCUAUUCUGAGCAGGAUGUGGGGCAGAAGUAGUUGGCGGCCCCUGUGUUGGGUUGCCAGUGUUCGGCUCUCGAGGGGUUAAAAGAUACAAGGUGUUGUCUACACUCCAUGGACCACAACUGAGAAGGAAGGGUUCUGGCCAGUGUUUCUCCUCAGGCAGGGCCACUUCCUCAAACAGGCUCCUCAAACAGGCCACUUGCCCAGAUUGCCUCCAAUGAUCUCAGCCCCCCAGGGGCAGGGCUGGGACAACAAUGUGGAAAUGGUUUGUGCUUGUGCUGGCCUCUCCUAUAACUGACCUGCAAGACACAAGAACUUGUCUCCUGAGUCCAUCCCUCUGGGCCUGGCUGCCGGCCAGUGCUGCAGUACCCAUGGCUUGAACGCAUGGCUAUUUUGUUCUGUCCUCCAGCCCCCCUACCCGGCUGCCCUAGGGUGAGAGUGAAGCCAGCCCAACUGGGGGGGGGGGUCCCUCACUGUUAAGCCCUAACUAUUCAGCCUCUGUUUUCUUAACGACAGCCUACUUCCAGCCUGCCCAAACGAAAGGAUCCAAAUACAAAAUGGGGAUUUUUUUGGGGUUUUUUUUUUUUUUUUUUUAGAACAACACUUGGGGGCUGUGCUCAGAAAGGGGCAUUGGAGCCCCCUGGUUUUCAGUCCAAGGCAGGUGGUUCACACCCUCCUCCACCUCGGGGUGGAGAACAGCCGGGGAGGGGGAGAGAAGCCAUCCACUCACACCGCCCCAAUCUGAGGCUGACAACCCCCUGCUGCUGAGCGAAGAGGGUAGGGUCCCAGAAAUCUACUCAUCUGGUGUCUCUCUACGGGGCCUCCCUCCACGCUUCCUCCCAGAUGGCCACCUAGCCAAGCUGCUCCGGUCCAUCUCCUGAGUCGUUUCCUGCCUAGCUGCCUAGUCCCAGCGAUCUCCUCCUCCAAAAAGGGAGAGGGCUCAGCCCUGCCUCUUCCUCUGCGAUCCGUGAGGGAUAAAGAAAUCACUUCGUGAUUGCCAUGUGGCAGUGAACCUCCUUGUAUCACACCCUAACCUAGAUGUGCGGGGAGAGACAACCCUGAGAAGCCCCCGGUGGGCGGGGCACGCUGGCCCCCAGCCCUCGGCGCUCCUCCCCCGCCCUAGCUUUCCUUUGUGCUGUGGCCCGGCCGGCUCCGCUAGCUGGGUCCCCGCCCCAUCCCCACCCGGUCCUCGCCCGCUCGAAGGUGGCGAAGGUGCCCUUGGCUGGCCCGUGCACACCUGUCCCCCGGGCCCGUGAAGGGAGGCAGGGUGGGAAGGGGGAUGGGCUCCGGCAGGGCCGUAGGACCCCAGGCCCCAGGUCUGGGCUCCACAUCCGCGUGGCUGGCGUCCGGCUCCCGGGUCCCCAGUGCGCCUAGGGCGGCCUCAGGGCGCCCCGGCCCGCACGCCCAGCCUGGCCCGACCGGCCCCUCCCCCGGCUCGCACAAAGGCAGCCCCUCCCCAGCUCUCCCGGGCCGUUGCACCAUUUCGGGGUCUCCCCCUCCCUUC